CCUCUUCUCGGGAAACAGCUUCCUCUGAGACAGCAGAAAACAUGGACUGCCUCAGGAUGCCCAGUGCUCUAGGGCACUUGCAGAAACAUGUUUGUAUGUCCUAGUGCCCAACUAUGCUGGGGGAACUCAAUGGCUCUAAAUGUGGGACACCCAGGCGUGGUACACACACCUGCAACACCAGUACUCCGGAGACUGAGGCCAGAAGCUGCUGCAAGUUGAGACCAGCCUGGGCUACGAGCUCUGCAAACCAGGUGUCACGAUUGAGAAGAGAAGGUGAGGCCAGAGUGGUGAGAAGGACAUACAGCAGUGACUGCAGAGCUGGGCCACUCCCACCAUCAGCCAGCAGGCAAACCUGGGUGGCAUGGCUGCCCUGUCCUCCUCAGGGCCACAACAAUGGCAGCUCUGUUAGAAGUCCCGGGAAUGACUGUAGUGUCCUGAAUCCACGGCACCAAGAGGCAGUGUCCCAGAGGGCCUGCUAUCUGGCUAUUUACUGCUGCCCCUAACUCAGAGGCAUAAAGCAAAGGCAGUGUUUUCUGCGCUUCUCGAUCUCCACAAGGGCCAGGCAUGGCAAGGACAAUCACUGCUUUCCCACUAGGAGCUCAGGUAUUUUGUCUCAGCAACGAGUAAAAAGUAACUAAGACAAGUCCCAAAGGUGAACAUCAGAAGGUCAGACUCACAGACAAGGAACUAGAAACAAGUGGAAGACCACACUGGGGAGAAGCAGAACCCCCGGCGUUGGAUGUCCCGCAGCACUCAUCUCUCCCACAGCACUGUACUCACCUGUAGUCACAGAGUAUGGCCCGCCUUCUAAGGGAGCAAAUUCCACUCAACCUUUACUGUGGACAGGUGUAUGCCCAGUUCCCCAGCUCUCCCACAGCUUCUAUGACUGAUGUUUUAAAAUAAAUUCCCCUUAACUGUAUUUUAUGGAUGGGGGUUUGUAAAAUGGAAGUAAGUUUAUUUCUAUCUGAUAUAGAUCCACUAAUAGUAUGAAGUUCUACACUUAAACCAAAAUUAAAGUAGGAGAUAUACAAGUCUGGACCAAACUACAGUGACAUUAGUAAUAGCCACAUGUCAGCUACCACAAGAAAGAAAAAACUUCCUUUACGCCUCCUGAGGAGGUGACCUAUACUAUCCAAACUUUAAGUAACAAUAACUUUUUGCAUUAAGUUUCUCAGUUUUGGUUUUCUUUUUGUUGUUGUUGUUGUUUUAAAGAUUUUUACGUUCUUUAUUUUAAAAAUGAAAGGGAAGAAAAGUGCUCUAAAAGAUAUAACUAUAUGGAGGUUUAAGUGUAUUACUAAGUUUCCAUUAGAUCACUGAAAGGAAUGGUUUUGCACUGUCAAUGUUUGAGAGUCUACUUUUUAUGCUUUGAUUUUGUAACUUGAACAAAUAUUUCUAAGAGCACAAUAUGUAACUUAUCAACUAGCAAUUUAAUGUUAAUUUUUCUUUGAAAUUCUGUAUUACUUCUCCCCUUUUUCUUGUCUUGUUUUUUUGUCUUGUUUUUCUUUAAAU